GCCAAUGUGGUAUGGUGGUUUGAGCAUUAGACUACGACUCUGGUGACCAGGGUUCGAAUCCCCACUUGGCCA